GAGAUUGGAGAGCGAGAUUGGAGAGCGAGAUUGGAGAGCGAGAUUGGAGAGCCUCCUGACAUAAUGUACACCUUUUGGAAGCAGUGGAGCCACAGGAAGCGUCAGACUGAUGGCAUCGCUCGAUGUCCUGUGUGUUGUGUUAUUUUGCACAGUCCAAAUACUCCUUUUACAGGCCGACGUAACGUUACUGUGAUGCUUCGGACUUUGGGUUGACCCAUGAAUUAAGUUGUAACUAUGAAGGGUUCAUUUUAUUUCAGUGUUUUUUUUUUUCUUCCCUUAAUCAUGUGUUUCUCGAAAAGACUGAACACUGGAGUGCAGUUGAAGAUGUCCUGGUUCGGUCCAGUGUUGGGCCAGACGGGCUUAUUUAAAAUAACAUUUUUUUUAAUUCUAUUUUAAUCUCACUGUAAACCGAAUGUUUGAUUUGAUUUUAGAGAAUUGACUUUAAAUACCGCUAGCCAUAGAUGAGUUAUCUUAUUUAGAACGUCAUCAGUAUAAUUCAUGCCAGAUUUUGAUUCGCCGGCUUUUGUUUAAAACGCUUCCAUUGUAGUUGUAUAUGACGUGUGUAGAUACAACCAACCUUGUUGUGUAGCGAAGAUGAUUUGAACAUGAAGCCAUUCUGUAUAACCAACAAUGACUUUAGGGAUGCUGUGACACUGGUUUAGACGUCUCCCGAGCACUGCCUGGGUCCCAGCGCGAGGGCCACUCUCAUGGCAUCCCCUUCCUAAUUCCUGUCUAGGCACACGGACCAUUUCAUACAUGAUGACAAUAUGGAAGGGGGGGGGUCGUCACAGACUGGUUAGAUAAGCGGUAGUGCGGACACUGAAGGAUUUCAAAGCUUGAUUAUAGUGUAAAGCUUUAAACCAUUUAAGUCAUGUUUAAACAAGCCAGUAUCUUACAAAUGUAAGACGUAUCAUUCAGUUUUUAUUGAUUAAGUUUGGUGUGAUUUUUGCAUUGGCAGCAGGUCCUGAAUCACAACGUGGUUUCCACACAUGUCCUUCAGCCUGGCCAUUAGUCUGAAGAAUGCAGUGGGCCUCAUGCAGGAGUGUCUCGUUUUCCCCUAUUCCUUUACUAAACUAUUUAGUUACCUCUGUGUAUAGCUGGGCGUGUGUGUGUGUGUGUGUGUAUAUGUAGUGAAAUACAUGUCUCUAAUAGGGAAGGCAAAGCAUUCCCAGACAGAUUGAGUGGUACAUGAUCAUUUUGAUCACUUGUUAGUCGGACCUUUCAGAACAAGUCUUGUUCAAGUGCAUUCUGUUUUGGACUUCUGUUUCUGAUAUACAGGUAACUGCCGAAACAAAGGACAUCUUGAGUAAAUGAGGGAUACUAAGUACACUAUAUAGACAAAAGUAUGUCAAAAUAGUGGAUUUUUGUCAAUUUUAGCCACACCCAUUGCUGACGGGUGUAUUAAAAAAAUUGCACACUGCCAUGCAAUCUCCAUAGACAAACAUUGUCAGUAGAAUGCCCUUACUGAAAACCUGACUUUCAACGUGACACCCGCCAUAGGAUGCCACCUUUCCAACAAGUCAGUUCGUCAAGUUUAUGAGCUGCCCCAGUCAACUGUAAGUGCUGUUAUUGUGAAGUGGAAACGUCUAGGAGCAACAACGGCUCAGCCGCGAAGUGGUAGGCCACACAAGCUCACAGAACAGGACCUCUGUGUGCUAAAGCGUGGCUCGUUGGGGGCCUAACGCCCUAUUAAGACACUUCAUGUUGGUAUUUUCUUUAUUUGGGCAGUUACCUGUGUAUUCUCUGCAUGGACAGCCAUUGAGUAUACAUAAAUAAGGAUGGCAAUGGAUAGUCCUGGUGCUCUGAGUUAGCAACAUGUAAAGCUUAGCUAUUGGACCACCGGCCUAAUUCUGAUUCCUGUGAUAUUUCAUAACUCCACAAGAAAAGAAUAAGCUAUAAUUCAGUUUUGUGGUACAGAUGUUUUAUCUCUUAACCUGUGUUUUUUGGAAACGAUGAAGGCAAAGUUGGCUCUUAUUUUAUACUAAAUAAAAAUAUAAACGCAACAUGUAACAUUUUCAUUGAUUUUACUGAGUUACAGUUCAAAUAAGGAAAUCAGUACAUUGAAAUACCAUUUUAAGGCCCUAAUCUAUGGAUUUCACAUGACUGGGCAGGGGUGCAACCAUGGGUGGGCCUUGGGAGGGCAUGGGCCCACCCACUGGGGAGCCAGGCCAAGCCAAUCAGAAUGAGUUUUUACAACAAAAGGGCUUUAUAACAGACAGAAAUACUCCUUUCAACAGCUGACCAGGUGGCUGGUCUCUGAUGAUCCCGCAGGUGAAGAAGCCGGAUGUGGAGGUCCUGGACUGGCGUGGUUUACACGUGGUCUGUGGAUGUGGAGGUCCUGGACUGGCGUGGUUUACACGUGGUCUGUGGAUGUGGAGGUCCUGGACUGGCGUGGUUUACACGUGGUCUGUGGAUGUGGAGGUUGGACGUACUAAAAUGAUGUUGGAGGCUUAUGGUAGAGAAAUGAACAUUUUAAUUAUCUGGCAACAGCUUUGGUGGACAUUCCUGUAGUCAGCAUGCCAAUUGCACGCUCCCUCAAAACUUGAGACAUCUGUGGCAUUGUGUUGUGACAAACUGCUCAUUCUAGUGUCCUUUUUAUUGUCACCUUUUGUAAUGAUCAUGCCGUUUUAAUCAGCUUCCUGACAUGCUACACCAGUCCGGUGGAUGGAUUGUCUUGGCUAAGGAGAAGGGCUCACAAACUGGGACGUAAACAAAUUUGAGCACAACAUUUGAGAGAAAUAAGCUUUUUGUGCGUAAUGGAACAAUUCUGAGAUCUUUUAUUCCAGCUCAUGAAACGUGGGACCAACACUUUACAUGUUGCAUGUUAUAUUUUUGUUCUGUAAAGAACUGGUACUCUAAUCAUUGUUUUGCCAUUAUAUCACCGACGUUGUGUAGCAGUAGUUGGCGACUAAUUUAUUUUAAAUUUCAUUUCAUCUGGUUAACCAAAGACAUUUUCAUAUUUGACCUAAUGCUUUUUGGUGUCUUAUUGGAACUGAUAUGAAAAGGUUAUUUUUUUGGAGAUGAUGCGAUGGAGAAUCAUUGCUUGAUUUGAAGAUUCAUCUGAGGUCCAUGUUUUUAAAGAUGUGAUGUCACUGGUCUGAGAGAUGAUUCCUCCGAGGUCCAUGUUUUUAAAGAUGUGAUGUCACUGGUCUGAGAGAUGAUUCCUCCGAGGUCCAUGUUUUUAAAGAUGUGAUGUCACUGGUCUGAGAGAUGAUUCAUCCGAGGUCCAUGUUUUUAAAGAUGUGAUGUCACUGGUCUGAGAGAUGAUUCAUCCGAGGUCCAUGUUUUUAAAGAUGUGAUGUCACUGGUCUGAGAGAUGAUUCCUCCGAGGUCCAUGUUUUUAAAGAUGUGAUGUCACUGGUCUGAGAGAUGAUUCAUCCGAGGUCCAUGUUUUUAAAGAUGUGAUGUCACUGGUCUGAGAGAUGAUUCAUCCGAGGUCCAUGUUUUUAAAGAUGUGAUGUCACUGGUCUGAGAGAUGAUUCAUCCGAGGUCCAUGUUUUUAAAGAUGUGAUGUCACUGGUCUGAGAGAUGAUUCAUCCGAGGUCCAUGUUUUUAAAGAUGUGAUGUCACUGGUCUGAGAGAUGAUUCAUCCGAGGUCCAUGUUUUUAAAGAUGUCACCAUUUCUAAAGUCUUACAUUUCCUCUAGCUCUACUGGAAUCUGAGUUUGAGUCUUACUCAAACAAGAGAGCCGUGUGUGUGUGUGUGUGUGUGUGUGUGUGUGUGUGUGUGUGUGUGUGUGUGUGUGAGAGAGAGAGAGAGAAUACCCCCGUCAAUGUUAUCAAUAUUGCCUAACUGAAAGGUUAUCUAGAAGUUGUUUUACUUUGCUUGUGUGUUUCUACAGAUACAAGUAUGAUGAUCUGUAAUGUAUAAAGAACCAACAUCAUGUUGUGUACUGCCAAUUACCACCAGUCACUUUGGAUAGUAGGGGAAAUGAAUGUCCUUAAUAAUAAUAAUGCUUAGUAAUGUGAGGUUGGUUCUAACUUUUAUCUUUCGCUUUCCGUCUGUCUUUAUUUAGUAUAUUUUGUAGCAGCACACAGCAAGGAUGAUUUUAUUGUGCCGUUGUAUUUUGUUGACCGUCAGAUGUAGAGACCUAACAGACGCAUGAAACUGCUGCCUUCGAGAAAUCAGCUUUUAUAGGAAUAAAUGUUUUUCAAACAA